rnacentral:rRNA from 1 species
UGACGACCAUAGCGAGGUGGUCCCACUCCUUCCCAUCCCGAACAGGACAGUGAAACGCCUCCGCGCCGAUGAUAGUGCGCAUUCGCGUGUGAAAGUAGGUCAUCGUCA